UACGUAGGGGCCGAGCGUUGUCCGGAGUUAUUGGGCGUAAAGCGCGCGCAGGCGGCCUCGCGCGCCCGACGUGAAAGCCCCCGGCUUAACCGGGGAGGGUCGUUGGGGACGGCGGGGCUUGAGGGCGGGAGAGGUCGGUGGAAUUCUCGGUGUAGUGGUGAAAUGCGUAGAGAUCGGGAGGAACACCUGUGGCGAAGGCGGCCGACUGGGCCGACCCUGACGCUGAGGCGCGAAGGCGUGGGGAGCGGACGGG
rnacentral:rRNA from 1 species